GGCUUGGUGAUUAUAGAGUUGGUGAAACACCUGAUCCCAUUUCGAACUCAGAAGUGAAACCCUUCAUCGCCGAUGGUACUUUGUCUUAAGGCACGGGAGAGUAGGUUGUUGCCAAGCCU
rnacentral:rRNA from 1 species